GACAGAGGUGCCGAGCGUUUAGGCGGAAUCACUGGGCUUAAAGCGUGUGUAGGCGGCGGCGUAAGUACCUUGUGAAAUCCCACGGCUCAACCGUGGAACUGCUCGGUAUACUGCGUCGCUUGAGCCAACUAGGGGGCGACCGGAACAAACGGUGGAGCGGUGAAAUGCGUAGAUAUCAGGAGGAACACCGGUGGGCGAAGGCGGGGUCUCUGGGCCGUAACUGACGC
rnacentral:rRNA from 1 species